rnacentral:lncRNA from 1 species
AGCUUAUUUAUAGGCCACGCCUACUAAUCCCAAAGCCUGGGUUGGGAACCACUGCCCCUCCUCCAGCCUCUCCCCUAGAACUCCAGGGCUAAACUCCUCAGUCUGCAGCGGAACAGAGUUCAAACUGCUUUGCAGGACAUUUCUGAUUUCCCCAGCCAAAAGCUCAGAGCAGAAGAGACGAUGCCAAGCAAGAGGAAGAAGAACAGGAGGAGGAUGAGGAGAGUGCGGGCCCAGCGGAGGGCGCUAGAGGAGCAGCAAGGGUCUGCAGGGAAAGGAACCUCUUGUCCAAGAGUUUAUAAAGACUCUAAGGGUCCAAAAUCAGCUUUAACUACAACUUCAGUGGAGGACCUUCUGCAGGCUCCAGUGCAAGCCCUAGCUGAUGUCUGUGAUUCAGUCCAGCGGUUUGAAUAUCAUCAGGCUAGACCUCCACGCAGUGUUCCAGCCCCAGUAGAAACAACCACAGAGGCUUCAGGAGAAAUGGUUGCUGAGGUUCUAGUAGAAAUAUCUGGACAAACUCCAGCAGAAGCAACUGUAGAGGCUCCAGAAGAAACGAUUGCAAACACUCUAGGAGCAACAAUUGUAAAGGCUUCAGGAGAAACAAAUGCAGAGGCCCCAGGAGGAAAUAUUGCAGAGGCUCCAGAAGAAAAAGCUGUACAGACUCAAGGAGAAAUGAUUGCAGAGGCUCGAGAAGAAAUAACUAUAGAGACUCCAGAAGCAACAAUUGCAGAGGCUCUAGGUGAAACAAUUGCAGAGGACCCAGGAGAAACAACUGCAGAGACUCUAGGAGAAAUAUUUAAAGAGGUUCCAGGAGAAAUUACUACAAAGCCUCCUGGAGAAACAGCUGCAGAGGCCCAAGAAGAAAUGUUUGCAAAUGCUUCAAGAGAUACAUUUGCAGAGACUCCAGUAGAAACACCUGUUGAGGAUUCAAGAGAAAUGUUUUCAAAGGCUCCAAAAGAAACAAUUGCAGAGGCUCCAGUAGAAACACCUGUUGAGGCUUCAGGAGCAACAACCGCAGAUGCUUCAGGAGAAAUGUGUACAGAAGCUCUAGAAGAAGCAUAUGUAGAGAUUCCAGAAGCAACAACUGCAGAGACUCAAGGAGAAAUGGUUACAGAGGCUCUAGAAGAAGCAUAUGUAGAGAUUCCAGAAGCAGCAACUGCAGAGACUCUAGGAGAAAUUAUUACAGAGGCUCCAGAAGAAGCAUAUGUAGAGAUACCAGGAGCAACAACUGCAGAUGCUUCAGGAGAAAGUUUUAGAGAGGCCCGAGGAGAAAUGUUUACAGAGGCUCCAAAAGAGGCAUAUGUAGAGAUUCCAGAAGCAGCAACCGCAGAGACCAGAGGAGAAAUGGUUACAGAGGCUCCAAAAGAAGCAACUAUAGAGAUUCUAGAAGCAGCUACUGCAGAGGCUCCAGGAGAAAGGUUUACAAAGGCUCCCAGAGAAACAAUUUCAGAGUCUCAAGAAGAGGCUCCCGCUGAAAUGUCUACAGUGUCCCCAGUAAAUAUGUCUGCAGUGACUCCAGGAGAAAUAAUUACAGAGACUCAAGCAGAAGCAACUGCAGAAACCCCAGGAAAAACAACAAUAGAGGCUAUAGUAGAAGAAUCUGUAGAAGCUCCAGCAGAUACAGUGGCAGUGGAGGAGGAAAAUAUCUUCAUUCCAAACCUUGAGAUAAUGGUAAAAGCUGAGGAACAGACUAUACCUCAGGUGGUCAGAGCCAAUGAAGCUGGGCCAACCAAGUAUGAGUCAGGGGCUGAAACUGAAACAGUCUCCAAGUUACAAUCAGACAUUGGUGAAGCUGAAGCUGUGUAUGCUGAACAGUGGGAGAAAUCUGCUUCAGAAACUGCAGUGGAACCUUUACCUGUUCUAGAGGAACAGAGAGAACCCUCCCAGGAAGAAACUACAGGGAGAGUGACUGAGAUAAAGGAAACACUGCUGUCCCAGUCUACUGAAGCUGAAACCAGAGGAGAGUUUUCCAUGGAAACAGAUGCUGCAGAGGAACCACUGGUGUGUUCUUUCCCGGAACCUGAACUUCUAUCAGGGCAGAUCACACACACCAGCCCCUCACACACACAGGAAGCUGCUUCAAGUGACCCAUCCACUACAGAUGACCCUGCAGAUGAUCCUGUUGAUGAUCCUGUAGAUGAUCUGAUGGAAGAGCCAGUAGCAGAAAUGCAGAGUCACACACACCUCAGCUCUAUGCGGGUGGACGGCCCGGACUCUGUCGGGGGACUUCUGGCUCCCGCUGAAGUCUUUAUUGAGGGUUAAACUUGACCGGAGGGGAGGAACCGCUGGUGAUCUGGAUCUGCUGAACUGUGCAUUUCUGUCUUUAAACAGUGUCAGAUAUUGAUUAUUAUUACUCUAAUGGGUGCUGAUCAGUUUUGGAAUUAUUCAUUAAAGCUGGCAGAUAAAUGUAUGUUUUAUAUGUGUAUUAAAACAGUUGUUGUAUUUUGGAGGAAACCGAAAAAAGUGUUUGGAUUUGGUGAUCUGGACUGAUUGGAUUAAUCAAUACAAGAUUAAUUCAAACUAAACUUAACCUUUUUAGAAACACUGUUACUUCAACAGCUUUUGAUCCAUUAUUGAAAAAGAAUGUUUUUUUUUUUGUUGUUGAUACAUUAUUUACGGAUUCCUGCAGCUGGUCCUCUUUUACUAUCCUUACGUUUUUUUUUAUUUGAUUUUCCUUUAGAUUAUUUUUUUCAUGUAUUGCAUAGACUAGGUGUUUGGUGCUAAACUGCCAGUGUGUUUGGAAGGGUAGAGAAGCUUCAAUUGGAAUAAAAAAAUAAUUUCCCCC